rnacentral:pre_miRNA from 1 species
UUUUUAGUAUAAGUAUGUUCAGUGCAAUAUUUAGGACAUAUUUAUACUAAAA